rnacentral:rRNA from 1 species
GCCUACGGGAGGCAGCAGUGAAGAAUAUUGGUCAAUGGUCGGGAGACUGAACCAGCCAAGCCGCGUGAGGGAUGAAGGUACAGAGUAUCGUAAACCUCUUUGUCAGGGAACAAAGGCGGGGACGCGUCCCCGGAUGAGUGUACCUGAAGAAAAAGCAUCGGCUAACUCCGUGCCAGCAGCCGCGGUAAUACGGAGGAUGCGAGCCUUAUCCGGAUUUAUUGGGUUUAAAGGGUGCGCAGGCGGUCUGUUAAGUCAGCGGUCAAAGCCCGGGGCUCAACCCCGGCCCGCCGUUGAAACUGGCAGUC